AAGUUACCCGUCACACAACAGCCUCACU
rnacentral:sRNA from 1 species